CACAUGCGCACGCACACACACACGCACGCACGCUGCAUGGCGACGAUGAGAACAAGAGUCGGUAACAGACCACACUAAUCGACUACCAACACAAGAAAAAUGAAGAGUACUGGUAGCAGUGGUCGUAUAGCACGGCAGCAGGCAGGAAACCAUGACAACGAGACAGCCGGGCGGUGUGCCAGAAGUGUGAUGCAGCAGGUGUGAGGCCGACGGAAUCAUGUAAAAUAAGAAACAAACAAAAGGUGACGGAAUCAGCCCCAAACCCGACAGGAUUAUUGUGUGAAUGUAUUCAAAUGUAUUCCUGGCUUAAUCCCUCAUCCUGCCCCACUAAGUAGUUGUAAGCGCAUUCGCUCACCAUCAGCUCACAUUAACACCAGCGCGAUAACAGACGACUGAAUAAGCAGCAGUAAUCAGUGGGGGGGGGGGUUUUCCGCGCACCUUGUUUACCAUGUAUAACACAUGUUUUAUAUGAAUCAUUAUUUUGUAAAUUACAUAUCAGGAACACCACAUGCCUCCAUCGACGCAAAUAUAUGCAUCUACAUUUAUGUGAGUACUGUAAAAGAAAAUUUUGAUGACUAUAAGUUGUGUACAGUAUAUAGUGUUAAACAGGAUUUUUGCAAACUGGAUUCCUAUAUGAACAAAGAUUAUUCCUCCAGCUUUAUGAUCUGAUCUAUGCUUUUCAUUUUUGUUAUGGUGUGCAUAAUGACCGGCCAGUGGUGUUUUUCAUGUUGACUGACUCAGGGUUUGAUUUGACAACAAUGUUUGGUUUUGAUUACGGUGUCUGAGGUUUUGAGACUCUAGAAAAAUUGGGGUUUGUGUUCACAGUUUUGAUAAAACGGUCCUUUUUUAAUCCCUUUCUUCAACAAAACAAAAAUCCUAAACUGUCAUACAAGUGUAAAAAUAUUUUUACCAUAAGAAAAACUAAAAUAAAGCAAAACUACUCACCUGUUGAACAUGCCUGGCAGACGUGUGGAGUUCGUACUGUACUGGGCUGCCAGAGCCUUUCCUGUGGUUACGGUUAUUUUGCCAUCACUGGUACCCUUCUAUGUGCGAGUGUGAUAGAGCAGUAGUGGUCCUGGACUUGUAACUGGGGGUCCGCAAAAUUUUGGACAAUAAACUUAGCAUCAAUUUCAAAAAUUGCCUAAAUAAUUCCUUUCCAAUCUAAAACCCACAUGCUGCAUCAUUAAUUGAUGUGUCGCAGCGUUUUGCACACACAGUUUCACGCACACAUCCAAUAUAUUCCGAAACAAGAGUUGCAGAGGUCAACGUUUGGUCAGAGUGCAUGACGGGCCACGGCAGGCGCCUCCCACAAUGCAGCUGUGUCCUGCACGUUCUCACGAUACCUGGAAAUAGCUGCCAGCGUUCCCCUGCUUCAUUCCAGACGGGACUGUGGGCGUCUUGAGAGAAGAAACACAAGAUUUGAAUAACAAGCGCAGACUUUUUGCUUUGUUUUGGGCCCCCUUCCCCAAUUCAAAUGUUUAAUUUAAAAGUGAACGAUGCCAGCUCAGCAUAGACGGAUGUUCUUUUGUUUCCCGGCUUCCUUGUCGAUUGAGACGCUUCCACGUUGUCUUUUCUCUAUUUCUGGCCUCGAAAUCCGCCCGGCAACUGUGUGUUUGUGUGUAUGUGUGUGUAUGUCAUCUGUAGUCUGUGUGCAUCCCAGAUGCCAAAAUUGUUCUGAUUUAACACAUUAAUUUCACAUUUUAACUGUUCUUCAAGUGUAAAACCACUAUAUAAAACUAUUCACCCUACAAGAAUGGCUGACAAAUACAGUAUAAUACAGACAUAGAGACACACAAGAAGAGUUUCACAACUGACUCAGUAAGUUGCUGUAAUAUCAGUCAUUUUUUGCAAAGAAUAUAGUAUAUGCCUGUGAGUAUUGUUAUAUUGUCUAUCUACAUGUGUUGUUCCACCGUUUGUGUUCAAAUAUUUGUUGCUUUAAAGGGUUAUAACACUGCGACGCUGACGCUAUUCAUUAGCCUGUCUAAGGCAUUUUGCAUUGUUGGUUAGCAUUAAGCUAAACUGACUUUAUUAAGGCAAAGCUAUGUUGUUGUUUUUCGCACACAAGGUGUGAUUCUCUUUGUUUUAUGUUUAGUUUGACGGGAAACUUGAAGUGGGAGUGGAAAUAAA